UUACACUGCAGCGGCGUCGGUUCUCCAGCCGAGAUCGUCGGUGAGAGCCAAGAGGGAAUCUGGUGGGAAUCCAGAGCUGCCCCGCAGCGGUAACGGAAACGAAGGCGUUCAACAGCACUGGGCCUGCCGGCUCGGGAAGCGAUCGUCGAUAGGUGGCACAUCACGUGCCGUGUCCGAAGUCCGAAGACCUGCCGACGUGGCCGCCGGGCA
rnacentral:ncRNA from 2 species